UGGUUGCUAAAAUCCGUCGCCUAACCCAAAUCAAUUUUUUAAAAUCAAUUUUUACUUGUCACUUUUCAAGUUUCCCAAAUCAAAUUUCGCUUAACCCUGGAAUGCUGAACCAUAUUUUCGCCGCACCACCCAUCUUCUCACCAUCAUUUAACCCUCACGCGUUCACCCUAAAUCAAAUUUUCACCGCUUCUCCACCGCAACACCGCUUUUCACACAUCUGUUCUCCUCUUCUCCACCCAAACUGACACAUUCACGUUUCCCUUCGUGGUCACAGAGAUAACGACCUCAACCUCCGCUGUCUCAAAUGAUGUCGUUUUCAAAUAUCCGAUCGCUCUUCCUCGUCCUUUGUCUUCGAAUCAGUCAUCUAGUCUUGUUUUCGAUGUCUCACGACUUCAUGUUGCAUAUCAGAUGUUUAUUUGAUAGGUUGGUGAUAGUCGUGCAAUUUUAGCUGCUCGGAUUGGGAAUCAUCCUCAACUCACCAUGGAUCAUAGCACUCAUGUGAAAAGUAGGUUUUUGCGACAUGUUGAAAUUGAGUAAUUACUCAAUUUGAUUCUCAACAAUGUAGAAUCGUAUCAACUCAGUUCUCUACAUUAGAUUUUGAAUUGUGAACUUCGAGCAAAGGACAUGCUGCAACAUAUCUGCAUAGGUCCAAUUUCCAAUGAAUCAUUUGUUCGAAUGAGCAUAUCAGUUAAGUUAAAACAGGACAUUGAGGAUUCGAAUUAGUUCUUGAUUUGGUUUGUGUUGCAUUGGGGAACAAAUUCACUCUGAUUUCAUUCAGAAGAGCAUGAAUGCUAGAAGUGUGAGGCAGAACCAUAUAUUUUGUUAGGAUCAAAGAGGAGGUGAGAGUAAGGCUAUGCCAUUGUUGUACUUUCCACAAGAUCAAGGUGGAGUGAGGGUAAUUUAUAGUAUAUCUUUAAGUUGUUAUUCUAUUUUCGCAUCUUUGAUGAAGCUAUUCUUUUAUUUUUAUUUUUGAUGAUCCUACUAGUGUCUCACCAAUUAGCGAGUCAAACUUUUAAUAUUUUUGAUGAUCCAGAACUUAUAGAGAUGAAAAGAAAAGCAAAUACACAAGUUUGAAGGAAAUGGUUACACUUUUAAGGUAAAGCACUUUUGAAGUUCAAGCAAGGAAUUAUGAGUGACCCUUUUGAUGCUUUGUCAAAUUGGGUUGAUGAUGAAUUUGGUGUUGACCCUUGUAACUGGUUUGGAGUUGAAUGUUCAUAAGGAAGAGUUGGGUUAUUGGUUGUUGAUCUGGAGGAAGAAUAAUACAAUGGAGACAUUAAGAAAAGGAAAACACGAGUGUCACUGUUAAAGUAAAUGAGUGUCACUGUUCAAGUCUCUUAACUAUGACCAAAUAGGUUCCUUUGAUUUUGUGCUUAUAAGUAAUAGUGAAUGAUACUUCCACAUUUGUGUAUUGUUAAGAACAUGUUAUAUGUAUAUCAUAUACAGUAUAUGAUUAUUGUUUGAGAUUCUUAACCAAUUUUGGGAUCAAUAUAAAUUGGUUGGUAAUGCUUGUAAUUGGAAUUGAGUAGCCAUACUUUGUAUG